AACGAACGCUGGCGGCAGGCCUAACACAUGCAAGUCGAGCGAGGACUUCGGUCCUAGCGGCGGACGGGUGAGUAACGCGUGGGAACGUGCCCUUUGCUUCGGAAUAGCCCUGGGAAACUGGGAGUAAUACCGGAUGAGCCCUUUGGGGGAAAGAUUUAUCGGCGAAGGAUCGGCCCGCGUUGGAUUAGGUAGUUGGUGGGGUAAUGGCCUACCAAGCCGACGAUCCAUAGCUGGGUUGAGAGGAUGAUCAGCCACACUGGGACUGCGACACGGCCCAGACUCCUACGGGAGGCAGCAGUGGGGAAUCUUAGACAAUGGGGGAAACCCUGAUCUAGCCAUGCCGCGUGAGCGAUGAAGGCCUUAGGGUUGUAAAGCUCUUUCAGCUGGGAAGAUAAUGACGGUACCAGCAGAAGAAGCCCCGGCUAACUCCGUG
rnacentral:rRNA from 1 species